UCCAUUCCCCAUCCUUGAGGAGCUGAAGGCCACUGACCUUGUCAUCCUGGAACAGAAGGAUGACGCCGCCGGCGUCGGUGUGAGACCGGAGACCCUUGAUGAGGUCCGGGGUGGGGCACGGAGGGUAGUUGCUGACCUUAGUGCCAAAGGUAGGACUACCCUGUGAGCCAUAGAAGGCCUUCUUGAGGUACCCUUUCUCCAGUCCAAGAUUCUCGCAGAACAAGUCCAAGAGCUCCUCUGCUAGCUUCUCCAGUUUCAGAGCAAACUCCUUCAU
rnacentral:lncRNA from 1 species